AUGCGAUACUUGGUGUGAAUUGCAGAAUUCAGUGAAUCAUCGAAUCUUUGAACGCACCUUGCGCCCUUUGGUAUUCCGAGGGGCAUGCCUGUUUGAGUGUCAUUAAAUACCAUCAACCCUCUUUUGACUUCGGUCUCGAGAGUGGCUUGGAAGUGGAGGUCUGCUGGAGCCUAACGGAGCCAGCUCCUCUUAAAUGUAUUAGCGGAUUUCCCUUGCGGGAUCGCGUCUCCGAUGUGAUAAUUUCUACGUCGUUGACCAUCUCGGGGCUGACCUAGUCAGUUUCAAUAGGAGUCUGCUUCUAACCGUCUCUUGACUGAGACUAGCGACUUGUGCGCUAACUUUUGACUUGACCUCAAAUCAGGUAGGACUACCCGCUGAACUUAAGCAUAUCAAUAAGCGGA
rnacentral:rRNA from 1 species